UCGACUUAACCAACUUAAUUUUGCUACAGUAAUUGGUUCUACCAAUUAAGUUAUGUUUUAGUUGAUACGAGUAACUGAUAGAUCAAUUCAACCUUUUUACUUUUUAUUUUUCGUGUUUUUCUUCCUCCAUUGUUCAUUAACAUUUAAAUUUUUAAUGUAAUAUUGCUUUUCAUUUUAAUCUAAUAACUCGGUUUUAUUUUAAGCUCAACUUCUCUUUUUUAACAGUCAAAACACUCUCAUAACACUCUUAUUCUCAAUUUAUCAAAUCCUACUACAAACGGUUCUCUAACUUGAACGGCACGAUCCAACAACAUUAAUUCACACGCAUGCCACCUGAUUCCGAGUAGCAGCCACACGUGUAGGUGUCUCCCAGUUCGUUACUUCAACAUCCCGUUUCCCGCUACCAAAUGUGUGUUCGUGUGCGUUUGAAUUUUAUUCACAUCUACACCGAUCUUUCAGCACUUGUAUUUUAACUUCCAAAUGACAAUAUGGUUGAAAGUAAAACUGCUGUUGUUGAGGCGAAAUAAAAAAAAAAAACAACAGCUUAUAAAACUGGUAAAACAAGCCUCCGUAUCGGUGAGAAGCUGCUGAACAAGGAGUGUAACGGGCGGGGUGCGCGUGGAGUUUCCUUCAGAUCGUCUUUCGCGAUCAACACGCUGUGUGAAUGCAGCAGCCUCCCAAGCCUCAUUUAUCUCAUGCGCGUAUGUAUAUGAACAGUGUGUGUUGAAAAAUCGAAAGUGAUUCAAAUCACCGGUCGCUAUCCAGCAGUCUUGAUUCGACCUUCUUCAGUGCAGCAUCGUGGCGGCUUUGGAUCCAGUUUGGAGGAGGCCUAAAAAGGAGAUAAUAACUUCUCAUCACAAGUAUUCUCCUUUCUGUUGCACAUUAAGAUUUUACUAUAGUUCGCAAGUGAUUCUAAAAGACUAAAGUGUGAUCGAGAAACAAAUAGAUAUUUAAAUAUAUUUUAUAAACAUGGUACGUUUAGUGGUUUUGUUGCUGUGCGUGUCGAUGGCGACAACGCAAAAACCGGGCAAUUUCAACUUCAAAGAGAAAGGUUUCAAAAGCAGCCAAAGUUACGAUAUAGAUCCACAAGUACUGGAAAUACAGCGACAAAACCUAAUAACGCAGAAGAUACUCCAGCGAUACCUGGAACGGCGGUUACAUCCGGGCCGCAAGCCACAGAUUCGUGUGCCAUCGGUGGAAGAAAUUCUUCCGAAACCCUUCUCCCCGCUCGCAUCUGUCCGGGACGUCCGGCAGCAAAAUCAAACCACCUCCAGCGAAAAUGGUGGCUCGCGGUACGAUCUGUUUAAUGGUCGGAAUGGUCGGCAGUACAACCGAACCGAGGAAGACGGUACUAUUCCGGACGAACAGUACACCGACGAAGAGGCGGAGGGUGAGGAUUAUCGGGAGGAGCGUGAUCUGGACCAGUAUGAUGAUCUGGGCGAAUCGUUCGACAACGAUCGUUACGACAUCGAAUCACUCCAGUCCGGCGAGUCGGAGCAUGUGGAUUCAUUCUAUCGCGACAAGUACUACAGCAAACAGAGAGCAUCUCAGCUCUCGGCACGCGAUUCUGGCGAAUUGCUUGAUUUGAAUGCUCUGGAUGAAGAUUUCGAAGAUGAUCCUGAGGUGAGCGUGCUGAGUGAGAUUACGAACGAAAUACGUUUGCGGCAGGAAGCGGCAAAAGGAUCUCCAGAAGAUUCCGGAGAUCGCACUGGCCGCGUGAAGCGACAAGCGAUCAAUAGCCGAACGUCACGGCGCGGACGAGUGACGUAUCGUGAUACACCAACGAUUACAAAUCGUGUUGAUGCACGAUACUACACGGCGGACGAUUAUGUCGACUAUCCGACAACACCCCGAACGAACAAGAAUCUUCGCGACAACUAUUCCGAAUAUAGGCUACUGUCCAAGAGUCGCAUUGCCGCUAACGAACCGGUCAAACCGAGUCGACCACGUGCGACUACAACACAAACGACACUUGCUCGAAAUGCUGCACGAUCGCGCAAUCGUAAUACGUUAAAAUCGUUGGCAUACAAACCAAAUGUUUACAAUGCCAACAGUCGCCGACCCACCUUUACGCUGUCGGCGUACAAUAAGGUUCCUACACGGCCCAGCAAUUCACGUCGUACAGGAAAUUCCCGAGGCACUUACAAGGAAGAAGAGCAAGGCCGAAACUGGAAUCGUUUUGGACAGUCAGCACCAUCAACGCAGGAUUGGCGCCGGAAGACGGUUAGUCUCGGCAGUUCCAACAUCCAACCGAGUACCGCCGCACUGACGGUGACGUUCUUCCUUCCGACGGACACAACCGUAUCGGUGGUGGCAAACUCCAAGACGGAGAUUAGUUUGAUCAAGACCACCACUACCAGCAUUGAGGAAAUAUGUACGUCCUGCUUCUCGUUGACCCAAGGCCCCAACGGACUGCCCGUGCACGUGCUCAACAAGGAGAUAACGUCCUUCAACAAUGACGGUCUGUUCGAGAUCACCAAGUUCAUUCUCAGCUCCACGCCCACCACUACGAUCUCGGUGUCCCAGAACACCUUCCGUGGUCGUUCGACCGCGUAUUCGGCGACCAUAUCGACCACAAUCUACGAAGCGACGCCUUUCGUUCAAACCAAGGGCAAACCUGCCGAUCCCAACUCGGUACUGUCGAACGCUCCGUUGGCAAAUAUUUUGCUUUCUCAGCUGCUUCUCGGCAAUCUGGGUGUAGCUCCCGAGCCAAACUUUAUCCCGCGCCCGACCGAGUUCUUGCCGGAUCCGAACCGCUACCAAGUGGUGGUGACAACGGCCACCGACUACAAGACGCAUGUGAAGGAAAUUGUGGAGACGGUCACCCAGACGAAAUCGAUCGUACUGCCGGUAACAUUCCAGGGACGCGAGAUCCUUACCACCGUGUAUGAGAGUGACGUUACCAGCACCGUCAUAACAUCCUUCAUUACCGAAACACUUACCAUCCCGACGACUUCCACUAUUCGCAUUCAACCGACAACGAAUCCGGCGGACGAUUUGUCAAACAAGUUGAGUCUUCUAUUGCCGCUGCUUGAAGAGCGGGAGCGACAAAAUCGCCUACUGUCUGCCAUUGAACCAACGCUGCCGAUCGUCUCAUCAGCGCCACCAACGAUUGCGCCCUCACCGACAGCCACUAGUGCCGUGUCGAAGGUGUACGUGUCCGGACAGCAUCCUGGCGAGUUUAGCGUGUCCUUCACCACCAUCUUUAAUACGUAAAACUUGCACAAUUUGACCUCUCGUCGAGGAGCACUCUCUGCCAGAGGUCCUGUUUCUAGUAGGUCAUCCUGAUGAAAGCUACUAGAUAUUGCAAUACUCAACUUGAUUUUAGGAUUAAAUUAGGCUAGCGUUGAGUCACCCGAUCCCGAAUGCGUUUUUUUUUGUUGUUCGCUCACCUCAAACAAGACGGCAAACAACGUCGGAGAAGCAUCAAACAGCACCCCAUAAUUCGACCCGAUAGAAUCGACGGGACCUUACAGUAGUUUUUUAAUACAAUCUCUACACGAACGGAGAGACUAUGAUGGAAGUGUGAGCCCAACCGAGGGGCUUACCAGAAGACAAAUACAUUCCGCGUAUAAAGACCAAACCAUGUCAGAGAUUUAGCGCAUGGGCUACAUCUUUCGUUGAUUGAAAUGUUUUCAUCAUGAAUAAAUCGUACUAAAGCUGUGAAGAUAGAAACGGAA